CUGAGGGCACCAUCGGGUGCGCCUCGACGUCCUCUGUCUCCCUGUACCUCGAAUCGUCCCGAGAGGCUCCCAAUCAAGCGCUAAUUCGCCGAUUCCCUUCUCUGGUCGCCGUCUUCCGGUGGCAAUUCCGGCUGUCCCCGACCUCCUCCUCCGAUUCCGAACACACCAACACGUUCCUGGCACCCAUCACCGGCGACACUCCGGCAAGCGCCCGGCCCCUUCUCUGCCCGCCGCAGGUCCGCCACGCCAAGACGCGUCCCCGACGCCAAGUAUCCGGUCCCGGUUCGCUCGGUUUUCCCAGAUCGAUGUUGAAACUGCGAGUUCCGCCAUGGAUUUAUCUGCCCGAGCUCCGCGUCUGGUUGUUUUAUUUGUCGCACGCCUUCUCAGUAAUCACAAAGCAAUCAACUGCUUAGUGUGAUCAGAUCUGGCGCCCCAUGGUCGGCCCAAUUUCCCUCUCGCCCCCAGCCCAUCGCGCACGCGCGCAGUAGGCCUCUAUCCGCCG